rnacentral:lncRNA from 1 species
UACAGGACCACGAGUGUGAUGCUGUAACUGCCACUGUUUGUAAUGUACAGGGAAGAUCUGGCAAGCUCUUUCAGAGUGCUUAAUAAAUUGUUCUUUUUACCUGGCCUAAAGGGUGAAUUCAUUCACGCCCACCAGUCCCUUCCAGGAUACCACAGUGGCUCAUCGAAUCCACUGGUUAUAAUGAAGGGCAAAAGUUGUGGGGAGACCCUGGGAACAUGGUUCCUGACUCUAGGCUUCAAGGGACAAGGAAGGGGUGUGGCGCUGCGAAUUGAACCAGGGCUCUGUGCUGUCAUACAAUCAGCAAGCCUCCACCAGACUGAACUACGUUGCCAGAUUUCAGUUUCAUUGUUUUUAACAUUUGGGUUUUUUGUUUGGUUGGCUGUUUUUUGUUUUGUUUUGUUUUUGAGACAACAGGCUGGCCUCAUACUCAGAGAUCUGCCUGCCUAUGACUCUGCUGGGAUUCGGGUAUUUUCUAAAAGACCCUGCAAAGAAGUUGGCAAGCCCUCACCAUUGUCUUUUUCUUACUGAUUUGGAG